rnacentral:rRNA from 1 species
UACGGAGGGUGCAAGCGUUGCUCGGAAUUAUUGGGCGUAAAGGGUAUGUAGGUGGUCUCAUUUGUCUGGGGUGAAAGCCUUGAGCUUAACUCAAGAAGUGCCUCAGAAACGGUGAGACUAGAGUCUUGGAGAGGGUCGUGGAAUUCCCGGUGUAGCGGUGAAAUGCGUAGAUAUUCGGAAGAACACCGGUGGCGAAGGCGACCUUCUGGGCCGUUUCUGACGCUGAGGUACGAAAGCGUGGGGAACAAACAGG